UACGUAGGUAGCAAGCGUUGUCCGGAUUUACUGGGCGUAAAGAGCGCGCAGGCGGUCGUUCAAGUCGCGUGUGAAAGCCCCCGGCUCAACUGGGGAGGGUCACGCGAUACUGAUCGACUGGAAGGCAGGAGAGGGUAGUGGAUUUCCCGGUGUAGUGGUGAAAUGCGUAGAUAUCGGGAGGAACACUAGUGGCGAAGGCGACUUCCUGGCCUGUUCUUGACGCUGAGGCGCGAAAGUGUGGGGAGCGAACAGG
rnacentral:rRNA from 1 species